UGGGAACCAGAUUUUAUUGCUUUUUUUUAUUUUGAAACUUUUACUUUACUUUUAGGCUUAUUGAAAUAUUUUUCUCAAUCUUUUGAUGAAAUUUAAACUAGCUAUUUUUGUUUACUUAGCUUUGAGCUUUUCCAUUUACUGAAAAAUGUUUGGGAUUUGUUCUUAUUUUUCUUUGGUAGUGUGUAAUUAACCCAGCAUUUGAUUUUUUUUUCAUAGAUAUGUGCAACAUCACACAUGGAAAUCAUUUCCUACACAAAUAUUUUUCCUGAAUAUAAAUCAGUUCAAAUACUGCAAUAUCGCCUUUGUUAUCUAGUUGAUGAGUGUGAAAUUAGACACAUGUACACAUAACUUUCUAAAUACAUUCGAGUACUGUAAGUACUUGGUUCUAGAUGUACUUUGGUGAUAUGGAUUAUAUCCAAGAUAUAUAACACACAAUAAAAAUAGAUUCAACAAAUUAUGCAAGUAACCUCUUUAACAUUGCAGGGGACAGUCCUGUUCCACUAAAACACAACAUAUAAUUUAUAUUUAUUAGUAUAUUUCUAGUGGAUGCUUUUUUUCUACUUCAAUGGGAGCACAAAAGUCAUGACAUAGAAUGAUAGAAGUUUGCUUCUCUCGUACACUAUUUCAUGCAAGUACAGCAAGAUAAUAAAUAUUAGAAUACAUCAUUGGUGAGGAGGAAAAGCAAGAUAUAAAGUUUGAGGACAAAAUAAAAGAACUUUAAGUGGUGAUAUUAAAAAUAAAUAAUUUCAGCUAUAAACAAGUUCUGUUUUCAUGAAAAAUAUCCUGGUUACUAUUUGUAUUAGAGAAGUUUCUCACAACUUUGACUGUAAUCUUUCAUUUUCAGUGUUACUAUUUUGUUAACAUUACUUAAUCAUUCUAUUUUUUAUGGAUUUUUAUGCAUGAAGAAUAGCAUCCUACUUGAGACAUACCAGUAAUAUGGAUAUUAUGCCAUGCCAUUUAUUGAAUAAAAUUUCCUGUAACAACAUUUUAAUUUUUAUCUCAUUAUUUUCCACCAUGUAUGUCAAUAAUUAGUAUUUUCAUGACUGGUUAAUCGAGGUAUUUUCUUUCUUAAAUCCAUGUUUAGCUCAAUGAGUACAAGUUUCAUUACCUGACACUUUUCCCACUAAGGUGAUUAUUUUAUGUAUUCAUUUUGUAUGUAAUUAUAAUUUUAUAUGUACACUUCACCAAGAUCAGUACUUUAUUUGAAAACAGUUUGGUUAGCCUGUCUCACUUUCAUCAUGGCAAUGUUUGUAAUUGCAUAAGAAUUAAUAUAUAGUACUUGUCAUUAUUGUUUAUGAAAUAGUUUGGUAAUAUUAAGUUGAUGGAUUGUAUGAUUGGUGCUGAACUCUAACAAGUAGGUAUCAUUAAGUUGGUGGAUUGUAUGAUUAGUGCUGAACUGUAACAAGUAGGUAUCAUUAAGUUGGUGGACUGUAUGAUUGACAUUGAACUGUAACAAGUAGGUAUCAUUAAGUUGUGGGUUGUAUUAUUGGUUGUGAAGUGUAACAAGCAGAUAGUGUUAAGUUGGUGGAUUGUAUGACUGGUGCUGAACUGUAACAAGCAGGUAAUGUUAAGUUAGUGGAAUGUAUGACUGGUGCUGAACUGUAACAAGCAGGUAAUGUUAAGUUUGUGGAUUGUAUGACUGGUGCUGAACUGUAACAAGCAGGUAAUGUUAAGUUUGUGGAUUGUAUGACUGGUGCUGAACUGUAACAAGCAGGUAAUGUUAAGUUGGUGGAUUGUAUGACUGGUGUUGAACUGUAACAAGCAGGUAAUGUUAAGUUAGUGGAAUGUACGACUGGUGCUGAACUGUAACAAGCAGGUAAUGUUAAGUCAGUGGAAUGUAUGGAACUUUUUAAUCUUUGUUUAAGGGGAUUUACAGAUGCAUUUAGAUUAGAAUGAAUUUGCUUAGGUAAUAAUUAAAAUAUAACAAUUUCUGAAAUCAGUAUUUAUGACAAUAAUUGUAGAAAUUGGUUGCAUUGAUUGUUUUAUUUUUCUCAGUGAUGAUAACAGCUCUAGUUUUAUAUAUAUAUAUAGAUUUAUAUUAAAUUAGAUAUUCUCCCAAAAACAUUUAAAGUUAAAAGUUUCAAAAUUUUUAUAUCCCCAUUGCAUUUUACUCAAUUUCACAGAGUUACAAGCUUAAACUGCAUUUUCUAGUGUUUUAAGUGGAAACAAAAGUGUACAUAAAAUAUUUUGGCUAAUUUUGAAAAUAUUUAUAUAUUUCUUUUUCAAUUUUCUCAAAUUGGAUUAUUACUCUAAAGUUCUAUACAUAAUUGUGUAAUUUAUUCAACAAAAAAGUACUUCAGCCACAAGCAUCAUCAAGAUUGUUUCUUAAAUCAAUACAACAUGUUAGCCUAAGUAACCCAUGAAUCAGUUGCAGUCCAUAGCAAGGCGUGUAAGAUUGAAGAAACAUAUUAGCAGGCAAAAUAGGCUGUGAAUAUAAAACUGUAACACUACAUUCAACAGUUUUUGUAACACUAGAACCCCUUUUUGUUAUUUUGUAGUCAUGACCUUUGAAUAUACUUUGUGAAUUAGUAUGAUAAUUUUGAAAAUUGAUAAAAUGAUCCCAAACACAUUUUGGUUAGUGAUAUUUGCAUGUGCUCCAAAUAAUUUAAAAGUGUAUAUUCAAGGUACUGCUUGAAAGAAGAGACCAACCAAAAGUGAAAGUUAUCAGAUUAAUCUAAUGUUUGCUAUUUACAAAUGUCCAAGUCAAAAAUGUUGACAUAUUCUAGAGCGUAGCAGUUGUUUGGUUUUAUUAAUUUCACUUUUCAAUAUUUCAAUAAUAUUGUAACUAUAUCAUUAUGCAUAAUUUCAGUUUGAUUUUUCUUAAUACUAUGUGUGUUCCAGAUUAAUACCUUGUUUGCUUUAUAACAUCAGUUAGGCUUAUUACCAUUAUAUAUACAAGUAGUUGAUAUUAUUUUACUUGAUGCAUUGAAUGCAGCAAUUCAUGGAUAAAUACAUAGUCUACAUGUAGAUACAUACACACAUUCUAAGGGCAUUCUUUAUUUGAUAAGAAGUUAACAUGAAGAUUAAAGUUGUUAGACACAUGUUUGUGUAUUUGGUUCUGAGUGCAUGUAAAUGAGGAUUAGUGUUUGUUUUCUUGUGCCUACUGUACAGCUUGAAACUAACUUUUUUGGCAAUUAAUUUAAAAGUUACUUGCAAAAGUGCCAGCCAAAAAGAUAGUGAAACAAAAAAUUCACAAGUUGCGUGUCCAUAAUGGAUAUAACUAGUCAACUGGCAUUAAUUUUCAGGAAGCUUCACAUUUUUAAUUUAGUAUUUGUUCAUAUACGAUCAAAUUUUAGACCAUGUUUGUAAUAAUAUUUCCAGAUAAAUGAAAAAAUAAAGAGAAUAAUAAUAAAAAAAACAUGAAAUACCACUUGAAUGCUUUGUCUAUACUUGCUGUAUUACAUUUCAGGAAUCAUAUUGAAAAAUAUGGGAGAACAAAUUGUAACAAGCUACUGGAAAGACUUGCUGCUUAUCGUAGUAUAUUUUUUUCACAGAAAUGUUGAGUUUGCAGCCAACUCCCCCCCUCAUUUGCUAUUUUUUGCACUGGUUUGGACAUUUAUGAUCAUACCUGGAUUAUCAACAAGCAAAAAAUUUCAUUGCCCUUUGAUGGUCACUGCUAAACAUUAGAACCUACUGGAAGUUUGACAGUCAGUCACCACUAAUUUCAAGCCCUGUAAUGGUAUAUCAGAGUGUAACCUGUUUUGUUGAGUAAUUAUCAUUAUACAAUAUACAAGUACUGUUCCAUGAUAAUCUAACUUAGUUGUAAUAAGGGAAUUGUCCCUACUUCCAUGGAACAACCUCUUGCUGGUGUCCAAACGAUGCUCAGAAAGUGUACCUAUUGCAUUAUCAAAUGGCAAGUUAAUCUUUUUUCUCAACAACUUUAAAAGAUUAUUUCUGUUAGCUGAAUAAUCGGAGAUUUGAAAAAUCCACCUAAAUUCUCAGUGUGGCUUGUAAUAUAGUCACCUAUGGAUACAGAUACAAGAUAUGUUAUUAGCAAAGUAAAGUGCAGAUUUUGGGUUAUAUCCUUCAGAAUUUUACCAGUCGGUACAAUAGUUGAUUAUUUUAA
rnacentral:lncRNA from 1 species